rnacentral:rRNA from 1 species
AGCGGAGAAAUUCCAAUCGAACUCGGAGAUAGCUGGUUCUCCCCGAAAUAGCUUUAGGGCUAGCCUCAUAUUAGAUACCCGGAGGUAAAGCACUGAAUGGCCUAGCGCCCGAGAGGGUAGCGAAGCCUAUCAAACUAAGAAUGCCGGAGUAUUGAUGUAUGGGAGUCAGACAGUGUGAGAUAAAUCUCAUUGUCAAAAGGGAAACAGCCCAGAUCUACAGCUAAGGUCCCAAAUUGUAUCUAAGUGGAAAACGAUGUGGAAAUACGCAGACAACCAGGAUGUUGGCUCAGAAGCAGCCACUCAUUUAAAGAGUGCGUAAUAGCUCACUGGUCGAGCGUCUCUGCGCGGAAAAUUUAACGGGGCUAAGAUACAAACCGAAGCUUAGGCUGCAUCGUAAGAUGCGGGGUAGGGGAGCGUUGUGUAAGCGGAGAAACAGUAGCGUAAGCGGCUGUGGAGUUUACAGAAGUGAGAAUGCCGGAAUGAGUAGCGCGAAUGUGGUGAGAAUCCACAUGGCCGGAAACCUCAGGUUUUUGGAGGAAGGUUCGUCCGCUCCAAGUUAGGCGGGAGCUAAGGUCAGGCCGCAAGGCGUAGCCGAUGCACAGACGGUAGAGAUUCCGUCCCCACCGAAAGAUUUAAGCACAGGGACACUUUUAGAAGGUCGGAGCCGGGUGUUGGUUCCGGUAGUGAUCGAGGGAAAUAUAGUACCGAAGUCUGGCUGGAUGAGAGGCGAGAAAAGCUGUGUGUAUAUCUAAGGUGCCCGUACCGCAAACCGACACAGGUAGGUAGGAAGAAGAUUCUAAGGCCAACGGGAGAAGGGUUGUUAAGGAACUCGGCAAGUUGACCCCGUAACUUCGGAAUAAGGGGUGCUCACGAGAGUGAGCCGCAGAGAAUAGGCCCAGGCAACUGUUUACCAAAAACACAGGUUUGUGCUAAAUCGAAAGAUGACGUAUACGAGCUGACGCCUGCCCGGUGCUGGAAGGUUAAGAGGAGAUGUGCAAGCAUUGAAUCGAAGCCCCAGUGAACGGCGGCCGUAACUAUAACGGUCCUAAGGUAGCGAAAUUCCUUGUCAGGUAAGUUCUGACCCGCAUGAAAGGCGUAAUGAUUUGGGCACUGUCUCAACAGCCCGCCCGGCGAAAUUGUAGUACCGGUGAAGAUGCCGGUUACCCGCGACAAGACGGAAAGACCCCAUGGAGCUUUACUGUAGCCUAAUAUUGGGUUUCGAUGUUGCAUGCACAGGAUAGAUGGGACACAGGGAAACAAGUGCUUUGGCAUUUGUGGAGUGGCCGUUGGGAUACCAUCCUUGCGAUAUUGGAAUUCUAACCUGCGCCUUUGAAUCAAGGCGGGGGACAUUGUUAGGUGGGCAGUUUGACUGGGGCGGUCGCCUCCUAAAGAGUAACGGAGGCGUUCAAAGGUUCGCUCAGCUUGAACGGAAAUCAAGCAAAAGAGUGCAAACGCAGAAGCGAGCCUAACUGCGAGACUGACGGGUCGAGCAGUAACGAAAGUUGGAGUUAGUGAUCCGGUGGUAUGUGAGUGGAAAUGCCAUCGCUCAACGGAUAAAAGUUACCCUGGGGAUAACAGGCUGAUCUCCCCCAAGAGUCCACAUCGACGGGGAGGUUUGGCACCUCGAUGUCGGCUCAUCGCAUCCUGGGGCUGAAUUCGGUCCCAAGGGUUUGGCUGUUCGCCAAUUAAAGCGGUACGCGAGCUGGGUUCAGAACGUCGUGAGACAGUUCGGUCCCUAUCUGUCGUGGGCGCAGGAUAUUUGAUGGGAGCUGUUCCUAGUACGAGAGGACCGGAGCGGACGUACCUCUGGCGCACCAGUUGUUCUGCCAAGGGCAUAGCUGGGCAACUAUGUACGGAUCGGAUAAACGCUGAAAGCAUCUAAGCGUGAAGCCGACCCAAAGAUAAGAUAUCCCAUUGU